AAAUUUCUGACAAUAUUCUGAGUCUUUCUCCAGUACAAAUCCUGUUUCUUCUAUUAUAUCUUCAAGAUGAAAAACCUACAUAGAUUAAGGUAUAUGAAUGGUUAACAAAGUACAGAUGAGAAGCAUCAAGGCACAAGGUGAAGAUAAGGGCAUGUAUAAUGCUGCUAUGAAACACAACUGUUAACAUGAAUGGAAAAGAAAUCAACUAAGGCAGCACAUCGAGCUUAAGCCUGGAACCACUUUGUGUAGAACACACUGAUACAGUGUAAACAGAAGUGUUAGCUGUCUGUACCUCUUGUUCACCCAAAUCACAUUCUUCCAUCAUUCCUAUUUCUGCCAUUGAUACCACUGUCCCUCCACCUGAAAAUCUCUUGCUGUCUUUAGCUCAUUAACUACUUUACUCAGUAAACCAAAACUUUCUAUUGGUUCUUGCUUUAAA